GAAGCCCUUUAGCCUUUCCGCUAUGUGAUGCUGCAUGAUCUGCAACUGUCGAUCUAAUGCCACCCGCUUCAAGUGUGGAGUACAGGAUAGUCGAUGCAGU